ACUUCCAUCCUUUUUCUUACAGUUGCAAAAGGUACACAAAGGGUCCAUUGGUAUCAACCACCUUCCCCACCACUGUCCAGCAAUGGCACUGAAUCUCAAAGUUAGGCCUUCGUUUGGUGCAAGCAUAUAAACAUUACAGUUUAUGUGUGUGUGUGAUAGUUUGGCAGGGUCUUCUGUAGAUCAAGCAUGUUUGCAAGCUAAUCACAGCUUUGUCAUUUCUUAUUAUGUUCAUUAAUAGAGCUACAAAUCUGUCUGUACUUGCAGGGAUGACAGCUUCCACAUUUCUGGGGUUUGGCCUCAUGAAAACAGAGCAAAUGGAUGAGAUCAAUGUGUUGCAGGAAAGAACUGACGGUGCCCUAAAGAGACCUUUUCCAGUUGAAACCAAACACUCCCAACUGCAGGCAUUGAAGAAAUAGCGCACGAUCUCUGAGGGAAUGAAGAACCCUCAAUGCCUGAUAUCACAUCUGUCCCAGAUUACCAGCAGGUGUUAUGUGAAGAUGACAUUGUUGGUGUAUUUGCCAGGUCACAGCCUUUUAAAGUGGAACUCUCAGCCUGUUUUCAAGUUUGGCAUUUAGGCAGAGGACUUCAUGCUGUCCACAAAUACACUCCUCUCAGGAAACAAUAAUAAUGACAUUGCACUUUUGUUCAAAUUCAUGAACAUGGGCAUUGUGGCCAAGUCCACUUUCUUUGCUCUGUAAGAUUCCUACUGUGUUGACACCAUUAAGGAGUUCUGGCAGAAGAACAGGUCAGCAAUUAUCAACCACCUGCAUGCAAAGGAACACAUUGUAUCAAUCCAUGGAAUGAUGGACUCUCCAGGUAGGUCUUGCAAUUAUUGUCAGUAUGCUAUGUUCUCAACCCCGAAUAACACUAGCACUAGGCCAGAGUGGUGAAGGGCCAAACAUAAAUUCUUCAAUAGAUGAAAGACAUUAUCAAUCACUUUUGGUUCUGUUGUAAGGCACAGAACAUGGGGCAGUUCAUGGUAUGUGUACUGUAUGUAUUUGAUGACUUAAUAAACAAAAAAAGAGUCUGCAUUCCUCAUGUAUUAGGUUAUGUUCUGUGAUUAAAAUCAUUCAAUCUCUUCAAAAUAGAACACUUUAUGUAAACUUGGCCAUUGUAUCUUGUAGGGGUGUGCCCGAAUACAAAUAUGUUAUUCGGCAAAGCACAAA